CCUACGGGGGGUAGCAGUGGGGGAUAUUGCACAAUGGGGGGAACCCUGAUGCAGCGACGCCGCGUGGGUGAAGAAGCGCCUCGGCGCGUAAAGCCCUGUCAGCAGGGAAGAAAAUGACGGUACCUGAAGAAGAAGCCCCGGCUAACUACGUGUCAGCAGCCGCGGCAAUACGUAGGGGGCAAGCGUUAUCCGGAUUUACUGGGUGUAAAGGGGGCGCAGACGGCGAUGCAAGCCAGGAGUGAAAGCCCGGGGCCCAACCCCGGGACUGCUCGUGGAACUGCGUGGCUGGAGUGAAGGAGGGGCAGGCGGAAUUCCUGGUGUAGUGGUGAAAUGCGUAGAUAUCAGGAGGAACACCGGUGGCGAAGGCGGCCGGCUGGACUGCAACUGACGUUGAGGCCCGAAAGCGUGGGGAGCAAACAGGAUAGAUACCCCUGUAGUC
rnacentral:rRNA from 1 species